rnacentral:rRNA from 1 species
UACGUAGGUGGCAAGCGUUGUCCGGAAUUAUUGGGCGUAAAGCGCGCGCAGGCGGUCCUUUAAGUCUGAUGUGAAAGCCUACGGCUCAACCGUGGAGGGUCAUUGGAAACUGGGGGACUUGAGUGCAGAAGAGGAAAGCGGAAUUCCACGUGUAGCGGUGAAAUGCGUAGAGAUGUGGAGGAACACCAGUGGCGAAGGCGGCUUUCUGGGCUGUAACUGACGCUGAGGCGCGAAAGGGGGGGGAGCAAACAGG